rnacentral:rRNA from 1 species
GACGAACGCUGGCGGCGUGCUUAACACAUGCAAGUCGAACGGAAAGGCCCUGCUUUUGUGGGGUGCUCGAGUGGCGAACGGGUGAGUAACACGUGAGUAACCUGCCCUUGACUUUGGGAUAACUUCAGGAAACUGGGGCUAAUACCGGAUAGGAGCUCCUGCUGCAUGGUGGGGGUUGGAAAGUUUCGGCGGUUGGGGAUGGACUCGCGGCUUAUCAGCUUGUUGGUGGGGUAGUGGCUUACCAAGGCUUUGACGGGUAGCCGGCUUGGGAGGGUGACCGGCCACAUUGGGACUGAGAUACGGCCCAGACUCCUACGGGAGGCAGCAGUGGGGAAUAUUGCACAAUGGGCGGGAGCCUGAUGCAGCAACGCCGCGUGCGGGAUGACGGCCUUCGGGUUGUAAACCGCUUUCGCCUGUGACGAAGCGUGAGUGACGGUAAUGGGUAAAGAAGCACCGGCUAACUACGUG